AAGAGAAAUCUCUCUUUCUUUGGGGUUCCCCUCCCUGUCGUUUCCAUGUUUCUAUGUCAGAAAGGAAGACUGAAAGAAAUUCAGGCAAAUUAAGCCCCAAAGCGCACUAUAAUUUUCUAUUUCUGAACUGAUUUGUAAGAGAAUGGGUAACAGAAAUUAGCAGAGAAUCACCUCACACAAAGAUGGCGCGUGCAGAAUUUGUGAACGUGAAAAAGAAGACGAAGGACAAGCCAGAGAGGGACAGACAGAAUACCGCAGUGCUGGGUGCCUGGGACCAGCUAAACAAAAACCCGGUGAUCUUCCAUCUCCAAAUCUCAAUGGAUUCAAAAACAAUAUGAAAUUUUUUAGCUGACAAGAACAUGCCUGCUGCCUGCAGACCCUGCAAUAGCUCACCAUGUUGCCUACUAACCGAAAGAUCAAAAAUUAUCGAUUUCAUGGCGCUGCGUGCUCUGGAAAAGAAAAGCUACUUUAAAAUUUGCAUUGUUUAAGAAAUGAGUUAAAAGAAAAAGAUCAUUUUCCCCCCACCCCCUGAACUUUGGAAUGUGAAAAUGGCUUGUUUUCAUCUUAUCCAUGAUUUACUAUAAUUCUAUUAUUUUUAGCAGCUGGAGUCCAGAAAUGAUUUUUUUUCGAUGAAUUUAGGAUUUUGCCGCAGUAUACAUCUGCAGUCCCAGAAUCCUCCGGUCUCUCCAUUGCCUCUUCACACUUUCUACGGUAGCCAUUAAAACACUUCCUUAGAAUGGCACACCAAGGAAGGCCUGGAGAACACCUAACUCGGAGCAUGAAGGAUGUUGCUGGCAUGACUACAGGGACCAGGCCAUGGCCACCACCAUGGCCACCGCCUCCCGCCACCCUUACUGCCCCUCCCUCACCCUGCAGUUGCUCAUUAGCUGUGAGCUUCCACAGUGGCUCUCUGCUGAAUCUGCCCGGUGGGUUCCUGGAUGGCUUCGGUGUGUAGGAACAGCCUACCAUGUAGUGUGAUGAGAGAUAUUUUACAAUUACUUAGCUAGCUCAGGACAAAAUUCAACCCUGACAUGAUUCAUGUAUUACAUAUCAAAAGUUUCAAUCCAUGCAUAGCCCACUUGAACUACUGUUAAAUGGGACACUGAGACAGAUUUUUUUUUUCAGGGGGGCUGAUGUUUUCAUGUUAUAAAUUGUUUUUAACAGGUCUUCUUAGAGAGAUAGAAUUGGCUGUUUUUAAAUUCAUGGAAUUGUGCUCAGUGUUCCUGUUCUGCUGGGAGAGGGUUCUUCCCAAGAGGAUUCUGAUGGAGUCCAAUGUGAACCACACCCUGAUUCCACUGUUUGUUUUUCUGUCCUUUCUGCUUAUUGUAAGGAGGUUUGACUAACUGUUAUAAUUUUACAUUAACUGAAGGGACCGAAUCAAAAGAAGCCAGGCAUCUAUUUCCCUCUAAAGAAAGCUCAUUGUCUUAGGUGUUCAAUGAAUAUUUAAUUAAUGGAUUUGAUAGAGUCAAGCAUCCAAAAAUUGAAUGGACCUUCUCAACAAUCCUGGCUUAUAAAUCUUUCUGCCUGAAUUGCAUUAUUAUUAUUUGCCUAAAGGUAGUUCAAAAGCAUGUGUCUUAAUGAAGGGUACUCCAAGUUUACAGUUAGCCAAAGCUUGAUAUGCCUGUGGUCUGAUAUGACAACUAACACAUUCCCUGCUGAACCAGCUGGAGCCUCGUUUGGCUUCUAGGAACACAGCCUGACAUUCAGAACCAUGUCUGUCGCCAUUUCACAAAAUGAAUUAAUUUAUGUCAGACCCAUUGGGUGGACUCUUGAAGGAAAGAGUGUAAAAAGAUAACCGAGUGUUAUUUUAAUGAAAUGUAUUACCCAAGGUCAAUUGUUUUAGCAAUUGGUUUUGUAAAAUCACUUGUAUCACA